rnacentral:snRNA from 1 species
GAGUAGUACUAGGAUGGG